rnacentral:rRNA from 1 species
GACGAAUGCUGGCGGCGUGCUUAACACAUGCAAGUCGAACGGUGAACAGGAGCUUGCUCCUGGGAUCAGUGGCGAACGGGUGAGUAACACGUGGGCAACCUGCCCCUCACUCUGGGAUAACUCCGGGAAACCGGGGCUAAUACCGGACAUGACCUGUCGCGACCGCCCUCCAGGUUGAAACCACUUCGGCGAGGGAUGGGCCCUCGGCCUAGCAGCUAGGUUGUGGGGUCACGGCCCACAAAGGCGACGACGGGGAGCCGGCCUGAGAGGGCGACCGGCCACACGGGGACUGAGACACGGCCCAGACUCCUACGGGAGGCAGCAGUGGGGAAUAAUGCGCAAUGGGCGAAAGCCUGACGCAGCGACGCCGCGUGAGGGACGACGGCCUUCGGGUUGUAAACCUCUUUCAGCAGGGACGAAGCGAAAGUGACGGUACCUGCAGAAGAAGCACCGGCUAACUACGUGCCAGCAGCCGCCGUAACAC